AGUACCUUUAAAUCAGCCCUGUGAGGCUGGCAAGGUAGCGUGAUAACAUGAAGUCUCAGUCGGCCCGCAGCCGGCAAGACAGGGUGUCUGCAUAUGCCAAUUCCUUAGUACGGAGUUUGGGUUGCGGAUGGCUUGUCUUCGCUGACGGAGCCACUGGGUUAUCAGCUAACUCCUUGCCCAACAGGCAAGGAGCUUUUUUAU
rfam:Paenibacillus curdlanolyticus YK9 ctg111, whole genome shotgun sequence.